ACUCCUACGGGAGGCAGCAGUGAGGAAUAUUGGUCAAUGGAGGGAACUCUGAACCAGCCAUCCCGCGUGUAGGAAGACGGCCUUAUGGGUUGUAAACUACUUUUAUAACAGGAAGAAACGUACCCUCGUGAGGGUGCCUGACGGUACUGUAGGAAUAAGCACCGGCUAACUCCGUGCCAGCAGCCGCGGUAAUACGGAGGGUGCGAGCGUUAUCCGGAUUUAUUGGGUUUAAAGGUCCGUAGGCGGGUUAAUAAGUCAGUGGUGAAAUCCCAUCGCUUAACGAUGGAACUGCCAUUGAUACUGUUAGUCUUGAAUGAGGGUGCAGUGGUUGGAAUGUGUAGUGUAGCGGUGAAAUGCAUAGAUAUUACACAGAACACCGAUUGCGAAGGCAGAUCACUAACCCUAAAUUGACGCUGAGGGACGAAAGCGUGGGGGAGCGAACAGGAUUAGAUACCCUGUAGACUGUC
rnacentral:rRNA from 1 species